rnacentral:rRNA from 1 species
AUUACCUUGCCCAGCAGCCCGCCGGUUAUUACGUAGGGGCGCAAGCGGUUUUCCGGAAAUAUUGGGGCGUAAAGAAGCUUGUAGGCGGUUUGGUCGCGUUCUGCCGGGGAAAGUCCGGGGCUCAACUCCGGAUUUGCGGUGGGUACGGGCAGACUAGAGUGAUGUAGGGGAGACUGGAAUUCUUGGUGUAGCGGUGAAAUGCGCAGAUAUCAGGAGGAACACCGAUGGCGAAGGCAGGUCUCUGGGCAUUAACUGACGCUGAGGAGCGAAAGCAUGGGGAGCGAACAGGAUUAGAUACCCUGGUAGUCCAUGCCGUAAACGUUGGGCACUAGGUGUGGGGGACAUUCCACGUUUUCCGCGCCGUAGCUAACGCAUUAAGUGCCCCGCCUGGGGAGUACGGCCACAAGGCUAAAACUCAAAGGAAUUGACGGGGGCCCGCACAAGCGGCGGAGCAUGCGGAUUAAUUCGAUGCAACGCAAAGGACCUUACCAAGGCUUGACAUGAACCGGACCGCCGCAGAAAUGUGGUUUCCCCUUUGGGGCUGGUUUACAGGUGGUGCAUGGUUGUCGUCAGCUCGUGUCGUGAGAUGUUGGGUUAAGUCCCGCAACGAGCGCAACCCUCGUUCUAUGUUGCCAGCACGUGAUGGUGGGGACUCAUAGGAGACUGCCGGGGUCAACUCGGAGGAAGGUGGGGACGACGUCAAAUCAUCAUGCCCCUUAUGUCUUGGGCUUCACGCAUGCUACAAUGGCCGGUACAAAGGGUUGCGAUACUGUGAGGUGGAGCUAAUCCCAAAAAGCCGGUCUCAGUUCGGAUUGGGGUCUGCAACUCGACCCCAUGAGGUCGGAGUCGCUAGUAAUCGCAGAUCAGCAACGCUGCGGUGAAUACGUUCCCGGGCCUUGUACACACCGCCCGUCAAGUCACGAAAGUUGGUAACACCCGAAGCCGGUGGCCUAACCCCUUGUGGGAGGGAGCCGUCGAAGGUGGGACUGGCGAUUGGGACUAAGUCGUAACAAGGUAGCCGUACCGGAAGGUGCGGCUG